UACAGAGGUCCCGAGCGUUGUUCGGAUUCACUGGGCGUAAAGGGUGCAUAGGUGGUGAGGUAAGUCGGAUGUGAAAUCUCCAAGCUCAACUUGGAAAUGGCAUUGGAAACUACCUUGCUGGAGGUUUGGAGGGGGGACUGGAAUUCUCGGUGUAGCAGUGAAAUGCGUAGAUAUCGAGAGGAACACCAGUGGCGAAGGCGAGUCCCUGGACAAAACCUGACACUGAGGCACGAAAGCUAGGGGAGCAAACAGG
rnacentral:rRNA from 1 species